GAAAACGAUGGUUGCUGUCGGACUUCUUGCAAAAUGACAAGUAUGGACAGCAACAGAGAGGUGAGAUCAACAUCAUGGUGAAGCACAUCCAUCUCACCAAUAAAGUAGCCAGGGUCUUCAGAAUCCAGCAGAGAUAAAGCAAGAAACAGAAGACCGACCCAUUAAUUUAUUGUGGAGAGGUCUGUCAAAGGCCUCAAGCUGCUUCCGUCGGGAACGAGAGUUGGCGUGCCCUAUACACGGGCCGAGUUCCCGCGGCUUGGCCUGACAUCAGACUCAUUAGGUUCCGAGCUUUAUUGUCGAGACGACCAAAAGAGAGAAACAUUUCCAAGGUAAAGAACGCAACCUACUGUGGAGAGAAAAAUAAUAAUUCCGCAGGUAAAUGGAUUCUUCGCUGACGGGAAGGUCAUAGAUGUUAAGUGGAACUCAAAAUGUUUAUACCCGUGUUUCUCUCAGCAGAUCUAAACAGACCAGCAGAGACAAACAGGCACACACGCCAUUGUGGAUAAAAUGUGUCCAAGUGCGCGGAGACCACCGCUCACACACGCACACAGCCCCACACGCACGUGUUCCGCGACUCCUGCAGUUUAAUGGGGUGGGGGAAGGGAUGAGAGAAACCA